CCUACGGGCGGCUGCAGUAGGGAAUAUUGGACAAUGGGGGCAACCCUGAUCCAGCCAUGCCGCGUGUGUGAAGAAGGCCCUCGGGUUGUAAAGCACUUUCAGUGAGGAAGAACGCCUGGUGGUUAAUACCCAUCAGGAAAGACAUCACUCACAGAAGAAGCACCGGCUAACUCCGUGCCAGCAGCCGCGGUAAUACGGAGGGUGCGAGCGUUAAUCGGAAUUACUGGGCGUAAAGCGCGCGUAGGUGGCUUGAUAAGCCGGUUGUGAAAGCCCCGGGCUCAACCUGGGAACGGCAUCCGGAACUGUCAAGCUAGAGUGCAGGAGAGGAAGGUAGAAUUACCGGUGUAGCGGUGAAAUGCGUAGAGAUCGGGAGGAAUACCAGUGGCGAAGGCGGCCUUCUGGACUGACACUGACACUGAGGUGCGAAAGCGUGGGUAGCAAACAGGAUUAGAUACCCGUGUAGUC
rnacentral:rRNA from 1 species